rnacentral:rRNA from 1 species
GACGAACGCUGGCGGCGUGCUUAACACAUGCAAGUCGAACGAAGAGCGAUGGAAGCUUGCUUCUAUCAAUCUUAGUGGCGAACGGGUGAGUAACGCGUAAUCAACCUGCCCUUCAGAGGGGGACAACAGUUGGAAACGACUGCUAAUACCGCAUACGAUCUAAUCUCGGCAUCGAGGAUGGAUGAAAGGUGGCCUCUAUUUAUAAGCUAUCACUGAAGGAGGGGAUUGCGUCUGAUUAGCUAGUUGGAGGGGUAACGGCCCACCAAGGCGAUGAUCAGUAGCCGGUCUGAAAGGAUGAACGGCCACAUUGGGACUGAGACACGGCCCAGACUCCUACGGGAGGCAGCAGUGGGGAAUCUUCCGCAAUGGACGAAAGUCUGACGGAGCAACGCCGCGUGAGUGAUGACGGCCUUCGGGUUGUAAAGCUCUGUUAAUCGGGACGAAAGGCCUUCUUGCGAAUAGUUAGAAGG